GGGGAGGCCAACAUGCAAGUCGAGCGAGAAGCUGAUGACAGAUACUUCNGGUUGAAGGAGUCAGUGGAAAGCGGCGGACCGGUGAGUAACGCGUAGGCAACCUGCCCUUUGCACAGGGAUAGCCAUUGGAAACGAUGAUUAAAACCUGAUAACACCAUUUGGUUACAUGAGCAGAUGGUCAAAGAUUUAUCGGCAGAGGAUGGGCCUGCGUCUGAUUAGCUAGUUGGUAAGGUAACGGCUUACCAAGGCGACGAUCAGUAGCCGACCUGAGAGGGUGAACGGCCACAUUGGAACUGAGACACGGUCCAAACUCCUACGGGAGGCAGCAGUGGGGAAUAUUGCACAAUGGGCGAAAGCCUGAUGCAGCAACGCCGCGUGAAGGAAGAAGGCCUUCGGGUCGUAAACUUCUGUCCUUGGGGAAGAAGAACUGACGGUACCCAAGGAGGAAGCCCCGGCUAACUACGUGCCAGCAGCCGCGGUAAUACGUAGGGGGCAAGCGUUAUCCGGAAUUAUUGGGCGUAAAGAGUACGUAGGUGGCAACCUAAGCGCAGGGUUUAAGGCAAUGGCUCAACCAUUGUUCGCCCUGCGAACUGGGAUGCUUGAGUGCAGGAGAGGAAAGCGGAAUUCCUAGUGUAGCGGUGAAAUGCGUAGAUAUUAGGAGGAACACCAGUGGCGAAGGCGGCUUUCUGGACUGUAACUGACACUGAGGUACGAAAGCGUGGGGAGCAAACAGGAUUAGAUACCCUGGUAGUCCACGCCGUAAACGAUGAGCACUANGUGUCGGGGUCGCAAGACUUCGG
rnacentral:rRNA from 1 species